rnacentral:tRNA from 1 species
GGCCAGGUAGCUCAGUCGGUAGAGCAGGGGACUGAAAAUCCCCGUGUCGGCGGUUCGAUCCCGUCCCUGGCCA